rnacentral:rRNA from 1 species
AGCAAUAUGUGGCAUACGGCUCAGUAACACGUAGUCAACAUGCCCAGGGGACGUGGAUAACCUCGGGAAACUGAGGAUAAACCGCGAUAAGUCACUACUUCUGGAAUGGGUAAUGACUUAAAUCUAUAUGGCCCCUGGAUUGGACUGCGGCCGAUCAGGCUGUUGGUGAGGUAAUGGCCCACCAAACCUGUAACCGGUACGGGCUCUGAGAGGAGGAGCCCGGAGAUGGGCACUGAGACAAGGGCCCAGGCCCUAUGGGGCGCAGCAGGCGCGAAACCUCUGCAAUAGGCGAAAGCCUGACAGGGUUACUCUGAGUGAUUUCCGUUAAGGAGAUCUUUUGGCACCUCUAAAAAUGGUGCAGAAUAAGGGGUGGGCAAGUCUGGUGUCAGCCGCCGCGGUAAUACCAGCACCCCGAGUGGUCGGGACGUUUAUUGGGCCUAAAGCAUCCGUAGCCGGUUCUGCAAGUCUUCCGUUAAAUCCACCUGCUUAACAGAUGGGCUGCGGAAGAUACUAUAGAGCUAGGAGGCGGGAGAGGCAAGCGGUACUCGAUGGGUAGGGGUAAAAUCCGUUGAUCCAUUGAAGACCACCAGUGGCGAAGGCGGCUUGCCAGAACGCGCUCGACGGUGAGGGAUGAAAGCUGGGGGAGCAAACCGGAUUAGAUACCCGGGUAGUCCCAGCUGUAAACGAUGCAGACUCGGUGAUGAAUUGGCUUCAUGCCAAUUCAGUGCCGCAGGGAAGCCGUUAAGUUUGCCGCCUGGGGAGUACGGUCGCAAGACUGAAACUUAAAGGAAUUGGCGGGGGAGCACCACAAGGGGUGAAGCCUGCGGUUCAAUUGGAUUCAACGCCGGA